UUCACAUGUCCGCAUGAUUAAAGGUAUUUUCCGGUAGACGAUGGGGAUGCGUUCCAUUAGAUAGUAGGCGGGGUAACGGCCCACCUAGUCAACGAUGGAUAGGGGUUCUGAGAGGAAGGUCCCCCACAUUGGAACUGAGACACGGUCCAAACUCCUACGGGAGGCAGCAGUGAGGAAUAUUGGUCAAUGGGCGAUGGCCUGAACCAGCCAAGUAGCGUGAAGGAUGACUGCCCUAUGGGUUGUAAACUUCUUUUAUAAAGGAAUAAAGUCGGGUAUGCAUACCCGUUUGCAUGUACUUUAUGAAUAAGGAUCGGCUAACUCCGUGCCAGCAGCCGCGGUAAUACGGAGGAUCCGAGCGUUAUCCGGAUUUAUUGGGUUUAAAGGGAGCGUAGAUGGAUGUUUAAGUCAGUUGUGAAAGUUUGCGGCUCAACCGUAAAAUUGCAGUUGAUACUGGAUGUCUUGAGUGCAGUUGAGGCAGGCGGAAUUCGUGGUGUAGCGGUGAAAUGCUUAGAUAUCACGAAGAACUCCGAUUGCGAAGGCAGCCUGCUAAGCUGCAACUGAC
rnacentral:rRNA from 1 species